GACGAAGGGGGCUAGCGUUGCUCGGAAUGACUGGGCGUAAAGGGCGCGUAGGCGGAUGGCACAGUCAGAUGUGAAAUUCCCGGGCUUAACCUGGGGGCUGCAUUUGAUACGUGUUGUCUUGAGUUCGGAAGAGGGUCGUGGAAUUCCCAGUGUAGAGGUGAAAUUCGUAGAUAUUGGGAAGAACACCGGUGGCGAAGGCGGCUCACUGGCUCGUAACUGACGCUCAGGCGCGACAGCGUGGGGAUCAAACAGG
rnacentral:rRNA from 1 species